rnacentral:misc_RNA from 1 species
GGCCAUCGUCCACCGGAAGUGUUUCUAAGCUGGCGGAGAUGGCGGGUCUUUUCAUCAGCAGUCGUUUUGCGUUCUAGUGUUGUAUGAUUGUUUGAUUGAGAUUGUUAUUAUUGCUUUUACCGAGUCUAUGUUGGAUUUUAUUUGAGUUGUCUACUUUUCAAGUGCUAUCAAGAUAUACAAUGGUUCCAGACAAAGGAAAGUGGUGGUUUUUAUUUCGUCGGAUCCAGUCAUGUAGAUCCUCAAGUUGGUUAAUAG